AGAGCGAACGCUGGCGGCAGGCUUAACACAUGCAAGUCGAGCGGAAAGGCCCUUCGGGGUACUCGAGCGGCGAACGGGUGAGUAACACGUGAGCAACCUGCCCCUGGCUCUGGGAUAGCCUCCGGAAACGGGGAUUAAUACCGGACAUUCUCCGCCUUCCGCAUGGUUGGCGGUGGAAAGUUUUUUCGGCCGGGGAGGGGCUCGCGGCCUAUCAGCUUGUUGGCGGGGUAACGGCCCACCAAGGCGACGACGGGUAG
rnacentral:rRNA from 1 species